GAUGAACGCUGGCGGCGUGCCUAAUACAUGCAAGUCGAGCGAACAGACGAGGCGUUUGCUCCUCUGACGUUAGCGGAGGACGGGUGAGUAACACGUGUAUAACCCACUUAUCAGACGGGGAUAAUUUCGGGAAACCGGCGAUAAUACCGGAGAAUAUAUUGCACCGCAUGGUUCAAUAGAAAAAGACGGCGUUGCUGUCAGUUAUAGCUGGAUACGAGCCGCUUUAGCUAGUUGGUAAGGUAAAGGGCUACCAAGGCGAGGAUGCGUAUCCGACCUGAGAGGGUGGUCGCCCACACUGGAGCUGAGACGCGGUCCAGACGCCUACGGGAGGCAGCAGUCGGGAAUCUUCCGCAAUAGGCGAGAGCCUGACGGAGCAACGCCGCGUGAGUGAUGAAGGUCUUCCGAUCGUAAAACUCUGUUAUUAGGGAAGAACAAAUGUGUAAGUAGAUAUGCACGUCUUGACGGUACCGAAUCAAAAAGCCACGGCUAACUACGUG
rnacentral:rRNA from 1 species